rnacentral:lncRNA from 1 species
AAACACAAGAACACUCGAAACUAAGAGUAGAUGUGAACCUAACGGUAUACCUAAAGCUUUGAUUACCACUUGAUGAGAAGAAGGGUGGCCCGAUCUUCCGAAAGGUUCUAGUAACUCUCGAUUUGGUGGAGACGAGACACAAAUCGAUCCGGCUUGCGAACAACACGAUCCGAAACCCUGCAAUUUUAUUUUAUUUUUUCGAUAUUUUUCUUUUACUUAGGAGCACUGAAUAAGUAACCAUAGAAAAUUUGAGCUUAAACAAGUGAAAUACGUGGCCUGCGGAAUUUUUUGAAGAUUGCAAAAAAUGUGAAAAAACAUCACGAGGUGAAAACUCAAACUUCGGAGGCAAAUUUAUAGAUUCUAAAAUUUUCAAACCUGCCAAUGGAAGGAACAGACAGAUCAAAAAAAAAUUUUUAGAUCGAUUUUGCUAUAUGGAACGUUGAAAUCGGAGUUCAUAUGUGAAAGUUAUGGUUGUUUUAAUAACGGACUCCGAAUUAGAGGACAAAACGGUGCGAAAGUGGGAAAAAAUUUCGGCAGUGGCUAGAAAUUGAUGGAAACGGUGGGGAAAAACACACGAACUGGACUCUAACAAGACCUAACCAGCAACAAGACAUCGACUAGGACACAAACUCAACACUGCGGACUCUAAGACUAAAAUAUGCAAAGGCUAUGGCUUGAAAGGUUUGUAGGACAGGAAAACGAUAUGACACUGGACUUAUGGGACGAACACAAGAACACUCAAAACUAAGGAUAGAUGUGAAUCUAACGAUAUACCUAAAGCUUUGAUUACCACUUGAUGAGAACAAGGGUGGCCUGAUCUUCCGAAAGGUUCUAGUAACUCUCGAUUUGGUGGAGACGAGACACAAAUCGAUUUGGCUUUCGAACAACCCGAUCCGAAACCCUGCAUUUUUUUUAUUUUUUUUAUAUUUUUCUUUUACCUAGGAGCACUAAAAAGUAACCACAAAAAAUUUGUGCUUAAACAAGUGAAAGACGUGGCCUGCAGAAUUUUCUGAAGAUUGCGAAAAAUGUGAAAAAACUUCAUGAGGAGAAAACUCAAACUUUGGAGGCAAAUUUUAAGAUAAAAUUAUCGAACCCGCUAAAGUCACAUACAGACAGAUCUGAAAUUUUUUUAUGAUCGAAUUUGAUAUAGGUAACGUUGAAAUCAGAGUUUGUAUGUGAAAGUUAUGGUUUGUUUACAAAUGCACUCCGAAAUAGAGGAAAAACGGUCCAGAAGUGGGAAAAAUUUGCGGCGCUGGCUAGAAAUUGAUGAAAAUAGUGGGGAAAAACACACGAACAGGACUCUAACAAGACCCAACCAGCAACAAGACCUCGACCAGGACACAAACUCAACACUGCGGACUCUGAAACUGAAAUAUGCAAAAGCUACGGCGCGGAAGGGAUGUAGGACAAGAAAACGAUAUGGCACUAGACUUAUGGGACGAACACAAGAACACUCGAAACUAAGGGUAGAUGUGAACCUAACGGUAUACCUGAAGCUUUGAUUACCACUUGAUGAGAACAAGGGUGGCCCGAUCUUCCGAAAGGUUCUGGUAACUCUCGAUUUAGUGGAGACGAGACACAAAUCGAUCCGGCUUCAGAACAACACGAUCCAAAACCCUACAAUUUUUUUUAUUUUUUUUGAUAUUUUAUUUUACUUAGGAGCACUAAAGAAGUAACCACGGAAAAUUUGAGCUUAAACAAGUGAAAGACAUGGCCUGCGGAAUUUUCUGAAGAUUGCGAAAAAUGUGAAAAAAACUUCACGAGGUUAAAACUCAAACUUCGGAGGCGAAUUUGGAGAUUCUAAAAUUUUCAAGCCCGCUAGUACUAGGGACAGGCAGAUCCAAAAAUUUUUCUGAUCGAUUUUGAUAUAUAGAACGUUGAAAUCAGAGUUCGUUGCGAAAGUUGUGGCUGUUUUAUGAACAGACUCCAAAUUAGAGGACAAAACGGUCUGAAAGUGGGAAAAAAUUGUGGCGGUGGCUAGAAAUUGAUGGAAACGGUGGGAAAAAACACACGAACUAGACUCUAACAAGACCUAACCAGCAACAAGACCUCAACUAGGACACAAACUCAACACCGCGGACUCUGAAACUGAAAUAUGAAAAGGCUAUGGCACGGAAGGGUUGUAGAACAGGAAAACAAUAUGGCACUAUACUUAUGGGACAAACACAAGAACACUCAAAACUAAGAGUAGAUGUGAACCUAACGGUAUACCUAAAGCUUUGAUUACCACUUGAUGAGAACAAGGGUGACCCGAUCUUCCGAAAGGUUCUAGUAACUCUCGAUUUGGUGGAGACGAGACACAAAUCGAUUUGGCUUUCGAACAACACGAUCCGAAACCCUGCAUUUUUUUAUUUUUUUUAUAUUUUUCUUUUACCUAGGAGCACUAAAAAGUAACCACAAAAAAUUUGUGCUUAAACAAGUGAAAGACGUGGCCUGCAGAAUUUUCUAAAGAUUGCGAAAAAUGUGAAAAAACUUCAUGAGGAGAAAACUCAAACUUUGGAGGCAAAUUUCAAGAUAAAAUUAUCAAACCCGCUAAAGUCACAGACAGACAGAUCUGAAAUUUUUUUAUGCUCGAAUUUGAUAUAGGUAACGUUGAAAUCAGAGUUUGUAUGUGAAAGUUAUGGUUUGUUUACAAAUGCACUUCGAAAUACAGGAAAAAACGGUCCACAAGUGGGAAAAAUUUGCGGCGCUGGCUAGAAAUUGAUGGAAACGGUGGGGAAAACACACGAACUGGACUCUAACAAGACCUAACCAGCAACAAGACCUCGACCAGGACACAAACUCAACACUGCGGACUCUGAAACUGAAAUAUGCAAAGGUUAUGGCGCGGAAGGGAUGUAGGACAAGAAAACGAUAUGGCACUGGACUUAUGGGACGAACACAAGAACACUCAAAACUAAGGGUAGACGUGAACCUAACGGUAUACCUGAAGCUUUGAUUACCACUUGAUGAGAACAAGGGUGGCCCGAUCUUUCGAAAGGUUCUGGUAACUCUCGAUUUAGUGGAGACGAGAUACAAAUCGAUCCGGCUUCGGAACAACACGAUCCGAAACCCUGCAAUUUUUUUUAUUUUUUUGAUAUUUUAUUUUACUUAGGAGCACUAAAGAAGUAACCACAAAAAAUUUGAGCUUAAACAAGUGAAAGACAUGGCCUGCGGAAUUUUCUGAAGAUUGCGAAAAAUAUGAAAAAAACUUCACGAGGUUAAAACUCAAACUUCGGAGGCGAAUUUGGAGAUUCUAAAAUUUUCAAGCCCGCUAGUACUAGGGACAGGCAGAUCCAAAAAUUUUUCUGAUCGAUUUUGAUAUAUAGAACGUUGAAUUCAGAGUUCGUAUGCGAAAGUUGUAGCUGUUUUAUGAACAGACUCCAAAUUAGAGGACAAAAUGGUCUGAAAGUGGGAAAAAUUUGUGGCGGUGGCUAGAAAUUGAUAGAAACGGUGGGAAAAACACACGAACUGGACUCUAACAAGACCUAACCAGCAACAAGACCUCAACUAGGACACAAACUCAACACCGCGGACUCUAAAACUGAAAUAUGCAAAGGCUAUGGCGCGGAAGGGUUGUAGGACAGGAAAACAAUAUGGCACUAUACUUAUGGGACAAACACAAGAACACUCGAAACUAAGAGUAGAUGUGAACCUAACGGUAUACCUAAAGCUUUGAUUACCACUUGAUGAGAAGAAGGGUGGCCCGAUCUUCCGAAAGGUUCUAGUAACUCUCGAUUUGGUGGAGACGAGACACAAAUCGAUCCGGCUUGCGAACAACACGAUCCGAAACCCUGCAAUUUUAUUUUAUUUUUUCGAUAUUUUUCUUUUACUUAGGAGCACUGAAUAAGUAACCAUAGAAAAUUUGAGCUUAAACAAGUGAAAUACGUGGCCUGCGGAAUUUUUUGAAGAUUGCAAAAAAUGUGAAAAAACAUCACGAGGUGAAAACUCAAACUUCGGAGGCAAAUUUAGAGAUUCUAAAAUUUUCAAACCUGCCAAUGGAAGGAACAGACAGAUCAAAAAAAAAAAAUUAGAUCGAUUUUGCUAUAUGGAACGUUGAAAUCGGAGUUCAUAUGUGAAAGUUAUGGUUGUUUUAAUAACGGACUCCGAAUUAGAGGACAAAACGGUGCGAAAGUGGGAAAAAAUUUCGGCAGUGGCUAGAAAUUGAUGGAAACGGUGGGGAAAAACACACGAACUGGACUCUAACAAGACCUAACCAGCAACAAGACAUCGACUAGGACACAAACUCAACACUGCGGACUCUAAGACUAAAAUAUGCAAAGGCUAUGGCUUGAAAGGUUUGUAGGACAGGAAAACGAUAUGACACUGGACUUAUGGGACGAACACAAGAACACUCAAAACUAAGGAUAGAUGUGAAUCUAACGAUAUACCUAAAGCUUUGAUUACCACUUGAUGAGAACAAGGGUGGCCUGAUCUUUCGAAAGGUUCUAGUAACUCUCGAUUUGGUGGAGACGAGACACAAAUCGAUUUGGCUUUCGAACAACACGAUAAGAAACCCUGCAUUUUUUUUAUUUUUUUUAUAUUUUUCUUUUACCUAGGAGCACUAAAAAGUAACCAAAAAAAAUUUGUGCUUAAACAAGUGAAAGACGUGGCCUGCAGAAUUUUCUGAAGAUUGCGAAAAAUGUGAAAAAAACUUCAUGAGGAGAAAACUCAAACUUUGGAGGCAAAUUUCAAGAUAAAAUUAUCGAACCCGCUAAAGUCACAGACAGACAGAUCUAAAAUUUUUUUAUGAUCGAAUUUGAUAUAGGUAACGUUGAAAUCAGAGUUUGUAUGUGAAAGUUAUGGUUUGUUUACAAAUGCACUCCGAAAUAGAGGAAAAACGGUCCAGAAGUGGGAAAAAUUUGCGGCGCUGGCUAGAAAUUGAUGAAAAUAGUGGGGAAAAACACACGAACAGGACUCUAACAAGACCCAACCAGCAACAAGACCUCGACCAGGACACAAACUCAACACUGCGGACUCUGAAACUGAAAUAUGCAAAGGCUACGGCGCGGAAGGGAUGUAGGACAAGAAAACGAUAUGGCACUAGACUUAUGGGACGAACACAAGAACACUCGAAACUAAGGGUAGAUGUGAACCUAACGGUAUACCUGAAGCUUUGAUUACCACUUGAUGAGAACAAGGGUGGCCCGAUCUUCCGAAAGGUUCUGGUAACUCUCGAUUUAGUGGAGACGAGACACAAAUCGAUCCGGCUUCAGAACAACACGAUCCAAAACCCUACAAUUUUUUUUAUUUUUUUUGAUAUUUUAUUUUACUUAGGAGCACUAAAGAAGUAACCACAGAAAAUUUGAGCUUAAACAAGUGAAAGACAUGGCCUGCGGAAUUUUCUGAAGAUUGCGAAAAAUGUGAAAAAAACUUCACGAGGUUAAAACUCAAACUUCGGAGGCGAAUUUGGAGAUUCUAAAAUUUUCAAGCCCGCUAGUACUAGGG